rnacentral:rRNA from 1 species
AUUGAACGCUGGCGGAAUGCUUUACACAUGCAAGUCGAACGGCAGCACGGACUUCGGUCUGGUGGCGAGUGGCGAACGGGUGAGUAAUGUAUCGGAACGUGCCCAGUCGUGGGGGAUAACGUAGUGAAAAUUACGCUAAUACCGCAUACGAUCUAUGGAUGAAAGCGGGGGAUCGCAAGACCUCGCGCGAUUGGAGCGGCCGAUAUCAGAUUAGGUAGUUGGUGGGGAAAAGGCCCACCAAGCCAACGAUCUGUAGCUGGUCUGAGAGGACGACCAGCCACACUGGAACUGAGACACGGUCCAGACUCCUACGGGAGGCAGCAGUAGGGAAUUUUGGACAAUGGGCGAAAGCCUGAUCCAGCCAUUCCGCGUGCAGGAUGAAGGCCCUCGGGUUGUAAACUGCUUUUGUACAGAACGAAAAGGUUUCUACUAAUACUAGGAGCUCAUGACGGUACUGUAAGAAUAAGCACCGGCUAACUACGUGCCAGCAGCCGCCGUAA